CCAGAGUCCUACGGGAGGCAGCAGUGGGGAAUCUUCCGCAAUGGACGAAAGUCUGACGGAGCAACGCCGCGUGAGUGAUGACGGCCUUCGGGUUGUAAAGCUCUGUUAAUCGGGACGAAAGGCCUUCUUGCGAAUAGUGAGAAGGAUUGACGGUACCGGAAUAGAAAGCCACGGCUAACUACGUGCCAGCAGCCGCGGUAAUACGUAGGUGGCAAGCGUUGUCCGGAAUUAUUGGGCGUAAAGCGCGCGCAGGCGGAUCAGUCAGUCUGUCUUAAAAGUUCGGGGCUUAACCCCGUGAUGGGAUGGAAACUGCUGAUCUAGAGUAUCGGAGAGGAAAGUGGAAUUCCUAGUGUAGCGGUGAAAUGCGUAGAUAUUAGGAAGAACACCAGUGGCGAAGGCGACUUUCUGGACGAAAACUGACGCUGAGGCGCGAAAGCCAGGGGAGCGAACGGGAUUAGAUACCCCGGUAGUCCUGGCCGUAAACGAUGGGUACUAGGUGUAGGAGGUAUCGACCCCUUCUGUGCCGGAGUUAACGCAAUAAGUACCCCGCCUGGGGAGUACGACCGCAAGGUUGAAACUCAAAGGAAUUGACGGGGGCCCG
rnacentral:rRNA from 1 species